GUUACCUUUAAGAGUAGUCCAGAGAGGCUGACAAGGUGCGCGUGAAUGAAUUGAGAGAUAUAGACCCGUAGUAUAGGUAUAUACUAUAGGUGUAUACUAUUAGUCAUACAAUCAGCACUUGCCUCAAAUGGGCAGGUGCUUUUUUUAU
rfam:Bacillus sp. FJAT-27916 Scaffold1, whole genome shotgun sequence.